rnacentral:rRNA from 1 species
CAUGGCUCAGAUUGAACGCUGGCGGCAGGCUUAACACAUGCAAGUCGAGCGGAGUGAUGGUGCUUGCACUAUCACUUAGCGGCGGACGGGUGAGUAAUGCUUAGGAAUCUGCCUAUUAGUGGGGGACAACAUUUCGAAAGGAAUGCUAAUACCGCAUACGUCCUACGGGAGAAAGCAGGGGAUCUUCGGACCUUGCGCUAAUAGAUGAGCCUAAGUCGGAUUAGCUAGUUGGUGGGGUAAAGGCCUACCAAGGCGACGAUCUGUAGCGGGUCUGAGAGGAUGAUCCGCCACACUGGGACUGAGACACGGCCCAGACUCCUACGGGAGGCAGCAGUGGGGAAUAUUGGACAAUGGGCGCAAGCCUGAUCCAGCCAUGCCGCGUGUGUGAAGAAGGCCUUAUGGUUGUAAAGCACUUUAAGCGAGGAGGAGGCUACUCUAGUUAAUACCUAGAGAUAGUGGACGUUACUCGCAGAAUAAGCACCGGCUAACUCUGUGCCAGCAGCCGCGGUAAUACAGAGGGUGCAAGCGUUAAUCGGAUUUACUGGGCGUAAAGCGCGCGUAGGCGGCUAAUUAAGUCAAAUGUGAAAUCCCCGAGCUUAACUUGCGAAUUGCAUUCGAUACUGGUUAGCUAGAGUGUGGGAGAGGAUGGUAGAAUUCCAGGUGUAGCGGUGAAAUGCGUAGAGAUCUGGAGGAAUACCGAUGGCGAAGGCAGCAUCUGGCCUAACACUGACGCUGAGGUGCGAAAGCAUGGGGAGCAAACAGGAUUAGAUACCCUGGUAGUCCAUGCCGUAAACGAUGUCUACUAGCCGUUGGGGCCUUUGAGGCUUUAGUGGCGCAGCUAACGCGAUAAGUAGACCGCCUGGGGAGUACGGUCGCAAGACUAAAACUCAAAUGAAUUGACGGGGGCCCGCACAAGCGGUGGAGCAUGUGGUUUAAUUCGAUGCAACGCGAAGAACCUUACCUGGCCUUGACAUAGUAAGAACUUUCCAGAGAUGGAUUGGUGCCUUCGGGAACUUACAUACAGGUGCUGCAUGGCUGUCGUCAGCUCGUGUCGUGAGAUGUUGGGUUAAGUCCCGCAACGAGCGCAACCCUUUUCCUUAUUUGCCAGCGAGUAAUGUGGGAACUUUAAGGAUACUGCCAGUGACAAACUGGAGGAAGGCGGGGACGACGUCAAGUCAUCAUGGCCCUUACGGCCAGGGCUACACACGUGCUACAAUGGUCGGUACAAAGGGUUGCUACCUAGCGAUAGGAUGCUAAUCUCAAAAAGCCGAUCGUAGUCCGGAUUGGAGUCUGCAACUCGACUCCAUGAAGUA